GACGAACGCUGGCGGCGUGCUUAACACAUGCAAGUCGAGCGGUAAGGCCCUUUCGGGGUACACGAGCGGCGAACGGGUGAGUAACACGUGGGUGACCUGCCCUCAGCUCUGGGAUAAGCCCGGGAAACUGGGUCUAAUACCGGAUAUGACUCCAUGACGCAUGUUGUGGGGUGGAAANCCUUGUGCGGCUGAGGAUGGGCCCGCGGCCUAUCAGCUUGUUGGUGGGGUGAUGGCCACCAAGGCGACGACGGUAG
rnacentral:rRNA from 1 species